rnacentral:rRNA from 1 species
AAAACGACUCUCGGCAACGGAUAUCUCGGCUCUCGCAUCGAUGAAAGAACGUAGCGAAAUGCGAUACUUGGUGUGAAAUUGCAGAAUCCCGCGAACCAUCGAGUCUUUGAACGCAAGUUGCGCCCGAAGCCUUUAGGCCGAGGGCACGUCUGCCUGGGCGUCACGC